rnacentral:lncRNA from 1 species
UCUAGGAGUUCAUUUUCUUUUUAGUUUUAUUGUGUUAUUGAGAGUUUUAUUAGUUCACUAGUUUCCUUAUUUCAAUUUCCUGGUAUUGUUAGGAAUAUGAAUAAUUUGUCUAUAAAUAUAGAAGCUACUGUACAAUUUUCAAUCAAUUAUUCAUUAUUCAAUCAAUAGAAGCAUAUUAUUCCUAUAUCGUUUCAUGUUUCUUUUAUUAUAAUUCUUAUUACAAGAAUUCAAACACGCUUCCGCACCAAAAUUGGUAUCAGAGCAAGGAAUUCACCUUAAUCCGUUACUAGAGGUAGUCGGACCACUGACGACGAACGGAAGCUCAACAAACUCGAACAAUGAAUCGAGGAGAUCGACGAAGCUCUUCGCAAUCUCACGCAAAUGGUGACUGCGUUAACUGUGAAGAACAGCCUCGUUCCAAGAACACAACAACAAGGAAAAAAAUUAGAUUACAAUGAAUACAUUGCAAAACAACCAAUCCAACAGAAAGAAGAUUAUUCAGAUUCCAACGAAGACACUCACCUGGAAGUAAGAAGUCCAAGAGUUGCAACCGGUAUGGGAACGCUAACUAUACCCCAACCCCACUUCGACCCAAGCCAGGAAAGAUGACACCAAGCCUUUGCAGAUGACCGGCCGCAGCAACAGAUCCCUAGCCCUCUUGGUCGGCGAGGUUACACAAUCGCGAAUCGUGAUUUUCGCGAGUCCAUCCUACUGCAAUUGUAUGAAAGGAGGAAUAGAGGUCAAGGUGGUCUACGUGACGACACCAACCUCCAAUGAAGGGGCCCAAUCGACGACAAUGGUAGAGCUGGUGAUCGACCGCGAGCAACAGUGAGAGAGGAACGAGAGGCAAACGGACAAUUUGAUUUGAGGGAACGUGAUUUUGAUAAUUUUAGCGAGGGAUAUAAUUUUGACCAAGACAACAAUUUUGACUAAAGAAAUAAUUUUGAUCGACAGACAAUUUUGACCAAAUGUUUAAUUUCAAACGAGGAUUAAAUUUUGAUUGUCGACCGAGGGAUGUUGAUUUGCAUGGGCACCCUAAUUGUCAACCAAGGGAUAGGGGUUUUCAAAGACUGCCACGAGGGAUCAACUAUUUAUCCGAAGAAGAAGAAAAUUUUAGACCAAGGGCUAAAAAUCGAGGUCCCAAUGUUCAAGAAUUUAAGAUGAAUAUGGACUUGCCAAGUUUUGACGGUCGAUUAAAUAUUGAAGAUUUUUUGAUUGAAUCCACACUAUUGAAAUUUUUUUCGACUAUUUAAAUAACUCGGAACAAAGUCAAGUUAAAC